rnacentral:rRNA from 1 species
UACGGGGGAGGCAAGCGUUGUUCGGAAUUACUGGGCGUAAAGGGCUCGUAGGUGGCCAACUAAGUCAGACGUGAAAUCCCUCGGCUUAACCGGGGAACUGCGUCUGAUACUGGAUGGCUUGAGUUUGGGAGAGGGACGCGGAAUUCCAGGUGUGAGCGGUGAAAUGCGUAGAUAUCUGGAGGAACACCGGUGGCGAAGGCGGUCUCUGGGCCUUACCUGACGCUGAGGAGCGAAAGCGUGGGGAGC